rnacentral:rRNA from 1 species
CCUACGGGGGGCUGCAGUGAGGAAUAUUGGUCAAUGGGCGAGAGCCUGAACCAGCCAAGUCGCGUGAGGGAAGACGGUCCUAUGGAUUGUAAACCUCUUUUGCCGGGGAGCAAAAAGCGGUACGUGUACCGCAUCGAGAGUACCCGGAGAAAAAGCAUCGGCUAACUCCGUGCCAGCAGCCGAGGUAAUACGGAGGAUGCGAGCGUCAUCCGGAUUUAUUGGGUUUAAAGGGUGCGCAGGCGGCGAGUUAAGUCAGCGGUAAAAUUUCGGGGCUCAACCCCGCCAAGCCGUUGAAACUGGCUUGCUAGAGUCCGCGGAAAGCAGGCGGAAUUCGUCGUGUAGCGGUGAAAUGCUUAGAUAUGACGAAGAACCCCGAUUGCGAAGGCAGCUUGCUGCAGCGGAACUGACGCUGAUGCUCGAAAACGCGGGUAUCGAACAGGAUUAGAUACCCCAGUAGUC